AAAUUGAAGAGUUUGAUCAUGGCUCAGAUUGAACGCUGGCGGCAGGCCUAACACAUGCAAGUCGAGCGGAAACGAGUUAACUGAACCUUCGGGGGACGAUAACGGCGUCGAGCGGCGGACGGGUGAGUAAUGCCUAGGAAAUUGCCCUGAUGUGGGGGAUAACCAUUGGAAACGAUGGCUAAUACCGCAUGAU
rnacentral:rRNA from 1 species